AGAGAGAGAGACAUCUGGGGAGGGGUAGUGGGUUACAGAUUGUUGUAAUAAACCAUAAAUCCAGUGUGUCUGUUCGGUCCAUGAUUUUCAGUGUGUAGCAGAGUCAUGAAUUUCAGCUCCCAGGCUUGACUUUUGAAAGUGCUGUGCAGGUUUCCUUUGAGGCUGAGGACUGAGAGGUCAGACAUAGAGUGAUCUCUUUGUGAAAAGUGU